GACGAACGCUGGCGGCGUGCCUAAUACAUGCAAGUCGAACGCAGUGGGGACGGGUGAGGAACCCGUGGUUAAACUCCCAUCAGAGGGGAUAACACUUGGAAACAGGUGCUAAACCGCUACUGGUGGAUUGUCCCGCGGUGCAUUAGCUAGUUGGUGAGGUAACGGCCAACCAAGGCCACGAUGCAUAGCCGGCCGGAGAGGGUGAUCGGCCACACGGGGACUGAGACACGGCCCAGACUCCUACGGUAGGCAGCAGUGGGGAAUCUUGGGCAAUGGACGAAAGUCUGACCGAGCAAUGCCGCGUGAGGGAAGAAGGUUUUCGGAUCGUAAAACUCUUUUGUUAGGGAAGCGGUAUCUAACCAGAAAGCCACGGCUAACUACGUGCCAGCAGCCGCGGUAAUAC
rnacentral:rRNA from 1 species